UCAGGAGAUCGAGACCAUCCUGGCUAACACGGUGAAACCCCGUCUCUACUAAAAGUACCAAAAAUUAGCCGGGCACGGUGGCAGGCACCUGUAGUUCCAGCUACUCGGGAGGCUGAGGCAGGAGAAUGGUGUGAACUGGGGAGGCGGAGCUUGCAGUGAGCCAAGAUCACGCCACUGCAUUCCAGCCUGGGUGACGGAGCGAGACUCCAUCUCAAAAAAAAAAAAAGAAAAAAAAGUAGCAGCUGGGAAUCUCAUUUCAUAAACUCAGAUGUGUGAGGAAUGAAACUCCAUUUUCCAACAGCUGAAUUUAAUUUCUGUUUUGAGUCUCCAUCCCACGAGGAAGCAGAAAUGGAAUCUCAUUCAGCCCAGUUUCCUCGGUAAAUUCCGAAAUUCCCCUCCUUAUGUCUGGGGUUAUUUCUACAUUUGAGCGGACAGGACGGGAGCUGCGGGAUCCACCACCAGGAGUGGGUUCAGUGAGUGCUUUUGGUUGCAAGUAACAGACAGCAGGACUAAAAGUGGGGCCAGAAAGUGGCUUACACCAGGAGUUAUCCAGCACGCAGCAAUCCCGCUCCUGGGGGACUUUUCUCCUUUGAGAAACUUGCACGUGGGGGUGUGGUAUCUUCUCAAAGAAUAGCAUAUAGCUGGGAAAAGGGGACAAACCGCAGCUGUCUGCAUGAUGUCUGCAGAGGCAGCCUGCAGGUCCUUGAGUGCCCCUGCUCAUUAGCUGUUUCUGUACCCAAGUGCAUAGGCUACGCACUGUGACUGAUGUGGAUCUAUUUGCCCCUCGCUACAAAAGGGUCUCAAGUCUUGUCCUUCAGUGUGUGGGACCCAUCGUGUUACCAAUGGGGCUUGGGGACUGAGGCUCAAGACUGCUUGCUGGGAAAUGUAACCCCUUUGUUCUGGACAGGUAGAAGGAGAGGAGAAUGGUCAUCCAGGCCUAAUGUAAAGUUUCUGCAACCCAACCCAAUUCCCAGACUCAUUUUGGUCAUGAUCAAUACAGGGGUCAACAAAAUUUUCUGUAAAGGGCGAGCUAGUAAAUAGAUUUGCUGUGUGUACUAUGCUGUCUCUGUUGCAACCAACUCGGCCAUUGUAACCUUGACAACAUGCAAAUGAUGGGCGUGACUGCAUGCCAAUAAAACUUUAUUUAGAAAAUCAAGCGGAUAUAUUCAAACAAACCCUUGGACGUGUUCAGAAUAGCGCUAUUCACAAUAGCCAAAAGGUGGAAACAACUCAAGUGUCCACCAACAAAUGAAUGGAUAAACACAACAUGUUGUCUAUUCAUACAAUGAAUAUGAUUCAGCCAUAAAAAGGAAGGAAGUGGCCGGGCGCGGUGGCUCACGCCUGUAAUCCUAGCACUUUGGGAGGCUGAGGCGAGUGGAUCACCUGAGGUCAGGAGUUCGAGACCAGCCUGGCCAACAUGGUGAAACCCCGUCUCUACUAA
rnacentral:lncRNA from 1 species